UGGCAAAAAGUAAACGCUAUUGCCAAAAGAAGAAAAAAAAAAACAAAGAGUAUAAUAAUAUAUAGGGAAUGUAAGCAAUUUUAUGCGAUGGUGCAGACAAUGUAAGCACACUUUUUAUAGUCGUAUGUAAACUGCGUAUCAAUCACCAAUCACCAAGCGUGUGUGUUCUAUAAAAAAGUGCUCAAAUAAUAGGUAAAGAUGGUGUGAAUGUAACCGGUUUCCCGUACACCAGAUAAUGAAAGAGAAUUGGUACCAGUUCGUAGCAAAAGAGAGAUGUGAAAACAAGAACAAACCAAUUAAGUUGAGUGUCUUUUGCUCGAAUCAGUUCCUCGAGGCUGAUUUAUAUUUCACCAGAUUUAAGCGUUUAAAAAUUCAUGCUCAUAAAGUUUGAUAAAACUUUGUUUACACACAUAACUUCAAUUUAGCAACAUUGACAGUUUUGACAAAAGCUGUCAUAUAAAGAUAUGUUGAUGUCCGCCAACACUACAUAUGCCCAAAAGAUACCCUGGAAAAGAUGUAUUAAAGACAAGUUUUUAACAAAUUUAAUUUAUUUCAGGGAACUUAACAUUUUAUAUACCAUAUUACCGAAUUAUUUAAUGUAAAUAAUAAUAUUAUAUUUCACUUCAUUAUCAACAGCCGGAAGACGUCCACUACUGGCAAAGACCUGCCCCAAAGAUCUCCACGACGACCGGUCCUACGCUGCCCUCGUCCAACGUAUUCCGGCGACCUUGACCCAGAUCGUUGGUCAAUCUUGUGGGAGGCCUGCCGACACUGUGUCUUUCGGUACGUGGUCGCUAUUUGAGCACUUUUCUGCCCAACCGGCCAUCUGUCCGUUGACCUAUGUGUCCUGCCCACUGCCACUUCAGUUUCGCAAUCAUUUGGGCUAUGUGGGUGAUCUUGGUUCUCCUGCAGAUCUCCUCAUUCCUGAUUCGAUCUCGCCGAGAAACUCCGAGCCUUAUCCAUUGCCCUCUAAGCCACAAUUAGCUUCUUCAUAAGGUCCAUAGUUAGCAAGCACCUCUGCGUUCCCUCUGUCACCACUGGCAACACACACUGGUUGAAAACCUUCGUCUUCAGACACUGCGGUAUUUGGGGCGAGAAGAUGUUACGGAGCUUCCCGAACGCUGUCCAUCCGAGUUGGAUUCGACGAGUGAUCUCUUUCCCCAAAUUGGACCUGCUUAACUGGAUUAUUCGUCCAAGGUAGACGUACUCGUCAACAAUUUCGAGAGUACAGUUUUCAAUUGUUACGGGAGUAAGUGCGACAUAGACAUUUGACAUAAUCUUCGUCUUGUCCAUGUUCAUUUUGAGACCUACUCCUUGGGAAGCUGUAUUGAGGCCAUCGAGCAUAUGGCUUAAGUCUUCCAUAUUCUCUACCAUGACUACGAUAUCGUCAGCGAAUCGGAAGUAGAGUGAUAUAUUCGCUGUUGAUAUUGAUGCCCAUUCCGUUCCAGUCCAGAAGCUUAAAGACAUCUUCCAACGCAGCGGUGAACAUCUUGGGCGAUAUGACAUCGCCUUGUCUGACUCCCCAAUGCAGUCGGAUAGGCUUCGAGAUCUGAUCCUGGAGACGGGCUGACAUGGUGGUCGAACUCCAAGCAAAGGACUUGGACGGAGUGACAACAACCCAACAGCUGAAGGAUUUGCUACAAUUUCAUUGGGAGUGAAUACCACAAGAUGGCAUAAACAGUCUCAUUAAUUCAAUGAAUAAUCGUUGCCGACAAGUUCUGAAUAGCAGAGGAGGCCAUACUUUGUACUAAAUUAUCCUAUUCUUUCACAAUAAAUUCAUUUUCUUUAGAAAUUUCAUUUUGUUAAAUAAAUGUUUAGUUGCUUAUGUACCUUAGUUU